rnacentral:rRNA from 1 species
UAACCAGGAUUCCCCUAGUAGCGGCGAGCGAAGAGGGAAAAGCCCUAUAUGAAAAGCCGUAUUUAAAAAGGCGAUGUAUUAGGUAACUUCUGGGAUGUCAGUUUGGGUAAGUGGCAUGGAAAUGUCUACCGCGGAGGGUGAGAGUCCCGUCCAGCCCAUUCAGGACAUUUCGCACGAAGUUGCUCAUAUGAGUCGCGUAGAUUGGGACUUCUGCGCUAAGUCGGUGGUAAAUCUCAUCGAAGGCUAAAUACUGGUAGGAGACCGAUAGUGAACAAGUACCGUGAGGGAAAGAUCAAAAGCACUUUGAAAAGAGGGUGAAAAGAACCUGAAACCGUUACGAAGGAAGCGUAUUGCGUUCAGUUGAUGGCUGUUAAACUACUCAUCUGUCUUUUUGUCUAGAGUAUUUGGUUUAAUAGUUAACCACUAUGCAUUUUUCGUGGCUGAUUUUGAGCUGCGGGAGAUGGAGGGAUCCCCUUUAAGGGUGAGGAUAGUGGUGCAGGAACUCGAUGCGACCCGUCUUGAAACACGGACCAAGGAGUCUAACAUGGCUGCGAGUUGAAGGGUGGUAAACCUGGAGGCGCAGUGAAAGCGAACUUUCUAAAACGGGCAGUUUGUGGCGGCAUAAAAUCGUUGAUUUUAGGUCUGACUAGGAGCAGUUAUGUUAGGACCCGAAAGAUGGUGAACUAUGCUUGAGUAGGUCGAAGGCAGAAGAAAUUCUGCUGGAAGACCGAAGCGGUGCUGACGUGCAAAUCGCUCGUCGAACUCGAGUAUAGGGGCGAAAGACUAAUCGAACCAUCUAGUAGCUGGUUCCCUCCGAAGUUUCUCUCAGGAUAGCGGGCCGACCCUUAUUGUUUUGUGCGGUAAAGCGAAUGAUUAGCGUACUCGGGGGCAUUCAGCCUUCGGUCGAUUCUCAAACUUUUAAUGCGCAAGGGUAUCACUGCUUUAUUGAGCGGUGCCUUUAAAAAUGUCGGCCUUGUGGGCCACUUUUGGUAAGCAGAACUGGCGAUGUGGGAUGAACCAUACGUGUGNNNNNNNNNNNNNNNNNCUCGCUUAUAGACCCCACAAAAGGUGUUGAUUCAUCGAGACAGCAGGACGGUGGCCAUGGAAGUCGGAAUCCGCUAAGGAGUGUGUAACAACUCACCUGCCGAAUGGAUUAGCCCUGAAAAUGGAUGGCGCUGAAGCGGGUAGCCGAUACCACGCCGUCUAUUUUAAUGAAUGUAAUAGAUGAGUAGGAGGGCGUGGAGGUCGUAUCGAAGCAUGCGUGCGAACGUGUGUGGAACGGCCUCUAGUGCAGAUCUUGGUGGUAGUAGCAAAUAUUCAAGCGAGAUCCUUGAAGGGCGAAGCGGGGAAGGGUUCCACGCGAACAUUGAUUGGGCGUGGGUGAGUCGUUCCUAAGCCGCGUGGUAAUAGCUAUCAAACGGCGAAAGGGAAGCGGGUUGAAAUUCCCGCACACGGAUGUGGAGGCGGCGACGCUGUAUUGAGACGAGCCCGUCGGCGAUUGCACUGGGCAGAGAUGUCUUUUCUGUUUAACCAACUCGCGCGUCGUGUGGAAUCCGAUUAUCGGGCGAAACACACGUACCGGGUAAGAGCGCCGGGCCUUUUCCGGCGUCCAGCUCGCGAUCGACGGCCCUUGAAAACUUGUCUACUGCAAUUAAAUCCACGCCGUGGCGUACCGAUAACCGCAUCAGGUCCCCAAGGUGAACAGCCUCUGCCUAAUAUGAACAAUGCAGGUAAGGGAAGUCGGCAAAUUAGACCCGUAACUUCGGGAAAAGGGUUGGCUCUAGUGUUGCGUGGGAGUGGUUGUCUGUUGUUGGCCGUCGUUGGCUAGCUGUUGUUGUUGCCGGGCAACCGGUGGCGGCUUCGGCGGGCUGAUUGCGAUCGCUACGGACGACGCCCACAGCAUGCGGCAAACUAGAACUGCAACGGUCAAAGGGAAUCCGACUGUUUAAUUAAAACAAAGCAUUGCGAAGGCCAGGGAUGGUGAUGACGCAAUGUGAUUUCUGCUCAGUGCUCUGAAUGUCAAAGUGA